UGCAUAUCAAAUAAGCGGAGGAAAAGUGACUAACAAGGAUUGCCCCUAGUAACGGCGAGUGAAGCGGGAAGAGCUCAAAUUUGAAAUCUGGUAGCCUUCGGUUGCCCGAGUUGUAAUCUAGAGAAGUGUUUUCCGUGCCGGCCCAUGUACAAGUCCCUUGGAACAGGGCGUCAUAGAGGGUGAGAAUCCCGUCCUUGACAUGGACCCCCGGUGCUUUGUGAUACACUUUCAACGAGUCGAGUUGUUUGGGAAUGCAGCUCAAAAUGGGUGGUGAAUUCCAUCUAAAGCUAAAUAUUGGCGAGAGACCGAUAGCGAACAAGUACCGUGAGGGAAAGAUGAAAAGCACUUUGGAAAGAGAGUUAAACAGUACGUGAAAUUGUUGAAAGGGAAACGAUUGAAGUCAGUCAUGCUCUUAGGAUUCAGCCGUUCUGCGGUGUAUUUCCUUUGAGUGGGGUCAACAUCAGUUUUGAUCGAUGGAUAAAGGCACGAGGAAGGUAGCACUCUCGGGUGAACUUAUAGCCUCGCGUCAUAUACAUUGAUUGGGACUGAGGAACGC
rnacentral:rRNA from 1 species